rnacentral:rRNA from 1 species
CCUACGGGAGGCAGCAGUGGGGAAUAUUGCACAAUGGGGGAAACCCUGAUGCAGCAACGCCGCGUGAAGGAUGACGGUUUUCGGAUUGUAAACUUCUUUUCUUAGUGACGAAGACAGUGACGGUAGCUAAGGAAUAAGCAUCGGCUAACUACGUGCCAGCAGCCGCGGUAAUACGUAGGAUGCAAGCGUUAUCCGGAUUUACUGGGUGUAAAGGGAGCGCAGGCGGGACUGCAAGUUGGAUGUGAAAUACCGUGGCUUAACCACGGAACUGCAUCCAAAACUGUAGUUCUUGAGUGAAGUAGAGGCAAGCGGAAUUCCGAGUGUAGCGGUGAAAUGCGUAGAUAUUCGGAGGAACACCAGUGGCGAAGGCGGCUUGCUGGGCUUUAACUGACGCUGAGGCUCGAAAGUGUGGGGAGCAAACAGGAUUAGAUACCCUGGUAGUCCACACUGUAAACGAUGAUAGCUAGGUGUGGGGGGUCUGACCCCUUCCGUGCCGGAGUUAACGCAAUAAGCUAUCCACCUGGGGAGUACGACCGCAAGGUUGAAACUCAAAGGAAUUGACGGGGGCCCGCACAAGCAGUGGAGUAUGUGGUUUAAUUCGAAGCAACGCGAAGAACCUUACCAGGUCUUGACAUCCGAUGCAUAGCACAGAGAUGUGUGAAAUCCUUCGGGACAUCGAGACAGGUGGUGCAUGGUUGUCGUCAGCUCGUGUCGUGAGAUGUUGGGUUAAGUCCCGCAACGAGCGCAACCCCUGUCGCCAGUUACCAUCAUUAAGUUGGGGACUCUGGCGAGACUGCCUCUGCAAGGAGGAGGAAGGCGGGGAUGACGUCAAAUCAUCAUGCCCCUUAUGACCUGGGCCACACACGUGCUACAAUGGACGGGACAGAGGGAAGCGAAGGCGCGAGCCGGAGCGGACCCCAGAAACCCGUUCCCAGUUCGGACUGCAGUCUGCAACUCGACUGCACGAAGCCGGAAUCGCUAGUAAUCGCGGAUCAGAAUGCCGCGGUGAAUACGUUCUCGGGCCUUGUACACACCGCCCGUCACACCAUGAGAGUUGGCAACACCCGAAGCCGGCGGCCCAACCCGCAAGGGAGGGAGCUGUCUAAGGUGGGGCUGAUGAUUGGGGUGAAGUCGUAACAAGGUAUCCCUACGGGAACGUGGGGAUG